rnacentral:rRNA from 1 species
ACUCCUACGGGAGGCAGCAGUGGGGAAUAUUGGACAAUGGGCGAAAGCCUGAUCCAGCCAUGCCGCGUGUGUGAAGAAGGUCUUCGGAUUGUAAAGCACUUUAAGUUGGGAGGAAGGGCAGUUACCUAAUACGUAAUUGUUUUGUACGUUACCGACAGAAUAAGCACCGGCUAACUCUGUGCCAGCAGCCGCGGUAAUACAGAGGGUGCAAGCGUUAAUCGGAAUUACUGGGCGUAAAGCGCGCGUAGGUGGUUUGUUAAGUUGGAUGUGAAAUCCCCGGGGCUCAACCUGGGAACUGCAUUCAAAACUGACUGACUAGAGUAUGGUAGAGGGUGGUGGAAUUUCCUGUGUAGCGGUGAAAUGCGUAGAUAUAGGAAGGAACACCAGUGGCGAAGGCGACCACCUGGACUAAUACUGACACUGAGGUGCGAAAGCGUGGGGAGC